ACAGUCUUCAUUCUCCCUAAAACUCCAGCGAGCCCAAUGGCCAGGGAGUGGGUGGGAGGACGGCAGCCUUGCCAAGCAGGGCGUGCUGGUGUUUUCUCUGAAGCCAAAGCCCCCUGAGACCCCCAGGCUCUGCUUAUCACCUCUGUGCCUACCCACAAUGUCCUGUGCAAUGUCCUGAUGGAAAAUGGAAAGUCGGGUUAAUUGUAUGUGUUAAUCUACCAUAAGUUUGCUUUGAUUUGAGCAAAUGGGCUUCUGAUGACUGCCAAGCUCUCAGCCAAAGCUACCGUUAAAGCGUCACUCAUCAGGCAGUGAGGGAGACACCUUCCUGUGGUCGCCGGCUAGUGCUUCUUCUGUUAUCAGAAUACAGGAUGUGGUGAGCCCAUCCGUUCUCGCUUUGCUUGUGGGUUUGAACUAUCUGGAACUCACAGAGCUCCUCAGGCUCAUCGAAGGCUAGUGCCUUCUGGGAGUGUGCAGUACUGAUAGGACUUGGAUCAGUGACAUCUUUCUAAUGUGUUUCUCUAUUGGUAAAUUAACAAACCGGGCACAUUCACCUGGCAAGAGACUGUGCCCCAGCAGGACGUGGCAUCAAGAUGCCAGGCUUAGGGCCCCUCAGGGUGCUCUCGGGCAGACCCGUUCCUCCCUCUGGGCUGCCUCUCCCUCACCUGUAAGGCAGAGGAUGCAUGUUCUUGGUGCAGCCUCCAACCCUAGGAAGUAAAAUGGCAGGACUGCCUGGAAUCUGUGGGGCUGCUGUCUCCCCAUGCCUCGGGACUGUUUGGGGAAUCAGCACAGCUUCUGGCAGCAGGCGCCUAGUAUGCGUUGCUUCAUCUUGGCAUUCAGGCUGGGAGGUCUCUCUGCGCGGACCCGGACAUCUCCUGGUGACAGUGCUCUGGGGUUGGUGCCGAUGUGCAGGGCAGUGAGCAUGAGGAUGGCAAUGGAUUUCCAUGUGGCUUUUCUCUCACGUUUCCCCCCCCACCCCCUCCUCGACAGCUCAGCACCUCUGAUGGGACCCUGGACCUGGGUGCUUAAGCUGAUCUGUGCCCUUGGGAGGUUCUGCUCCUUACAGGGAGCUCUGCAGACAUGGCCAACUCUUUGAUUCUACUGAUAUUUGGGUAGAUAAGAUUUUACCUUAAAUAGUUAAAUCUGAACUUGUGCUUGCAAAUGCUUCACCAGGAUGAAAUGUUUGUUUUGUGAUGCAUGUUUGCGUGGUGUAACAUAUCCUAAUGAAUAGACGCCACUCAUCCCAGGGGAUUUCAUCCGUGAAAUGAAACAUGUACCUGAACUGCAUCCUCAGAGAGCCCUGGGCAGCCUCAGCCCUCAGAAGGAAGGGGUGAGGUCCGAUGUGCAGGCAGGAAAAUCCCAGGUGCAGACCAACCAGUUCAGAGGGUCCACCCACAGCCACAGACCGGCCAGCUCAGAGGCAGGAAAAUCCCAGGUGCAGACCAACCAGUUCAGAGGGUCCACCCACAGCCACAGACCGGCCAGCUCAGAGGGCCCACCUCCAGGAGGGGCUGAGUAAAUUGUCCAGUGUGACCAAGUUGAAGUGAGAGCCUUCCAGCCCCAUACGACAACCAUCAGAAUCCCACAGGCUCAACAUGUGGUCCUCCACCGGGAGCCCUGUGCAUGGGAACCUUCAUUUACAGGUGGCUCUGGGCCCCAAGGACAAGGUCUGAAGCUCACCCUCUAGGCUCUCAGCCCCACAUGCCCGUGUCCACAGGCUCUGGCAUUUCUGCCUCUUGGAUCUCUAGGGGUUCACUUGUGUGUCUGUCUAUUGUGGGGGCUCUGGAGAUGACCUGUAAGGGCUGGGGUCUUUGUUCACAGGCUGGGGGCCACUCCUAAUGGGGCACCCUCAUCACACCAAGCAUGCCACGAAACAUGGCUGGUGGAUGGUUCUUUCCAUUACUUAGGCCUGGCCCUCUCACAGGGCAGAGGCGCUCCAGGCACACAUCCUGCCCCCAUGCAGCCCCCAGGCAAGGAAUCAAGACAGGACACUGUGCCCGUCAGCUGUCCACCCAGUGCUGCAUGACAAACAGCUCCAAAACUCAGUGCCAUGCAGCAAUCAGCGUCUCUUCCUUGCUUCUCUGUCUGCGGGUUAACCAGGAGCUCAUGUAAGCUGGUUCAGCUGGGUUUGUCUCCAGGCUGCAGGUUGGAUCCCCUCGCCCUCCAUCUUCCCAUCCUUCUUAACCGGGGCCUGUCCCAGGCAUGCACCUCCUACAGCAGAAGUGCCAGAGAAAAGGCAGAAACAUGCAGGGUCUAAGGCCUGUGGUUGGGUCGGAGUGCUGUCGUCUCUGCUCAUAUGCUUUUGACCAAAGUAAGUCUCAUGAACCAGCCCAAAGUCAAGGGGCUGGAAACAUAUUGCCCCCCACCAGCGGGAGGAGCUAUAAAGUCACACUGCAAAGGGCGUAGAUACAGAGAGGGGUGAAGGAUUGGGAGCAAUACUUCCAUGCACCCGAGGUCUUAGAUCACUCUGAUGAUCUCCAGAAGGCAAAACACGUCAUGGGAGAGGCCCAAAGAGCCUCUGGGGUCUGAGGAAGGAGUGGCCACAGCCAGCCGAGAGCCAGGAAGGCUUCGUGGAGAAGGCAGCAUGGGCUUGAUCUGAACCUUGAAGGCUGUGCAGGAUUCAACACGGAGACUGGGAAGCACCUUCCCAUAGAUACAACAGCCCGAGCCCCAGCUCAGAGGUGUCCACAGAGAACAGGAAAUGACAGUUACCCAGCCUGGGCCAUCAGGGACAUGAUAGAGAACGAGGAGAGGCAGACUACAGAGGUGGAUGUUGGUGGGGGCCUCAAAUGCCAAGCUACAGGGCUCGGAUGCAUUCAGAGGGCACUGGGGAGCCAUCUAUGGUGUUUGAGCAGGGCAGGAGUCAGAGAUCUGCUCUGGGAAGGAAGCCCGGUAGCAGGAAGUAAGACGGGAGAGAGGCGGAUGCAAGGAGACUGAUGCCCAGGAAAGGUGCAGAAGGACUGAGCUACCGGAACUGCAGAGAGAAUGAAGGGGUACAGGACCUGAGAAAAGGACAUCGCAACCACCGGGCUGGCCGCUGAUGGGCAGAUGCUGAGACAGAGAGGGCCAGAGAGGAGCAGCAGACCCAGGGAAAGAGAGGGCCUCUUUCGGAGCAUGUGAGGUGCAGGCCACCCCGACCAGGGUGACAUGAGGAACUCACAGAGUGGGCUUGGGCCUUUGGGGGCAGUCCAUCCAAUUCAGUCGCCAAGCCCUUCCCAGCUAGUCACCCACAGCCAGACACCUCUGGACUCCGCAUCCUUUCCCAGCCUCCCACUUCAUUUACCUUUCACCCUGCAUCUAGGGUGCUGAUUUCCUGUCCCGCACCUUCCCCCAUGGCAGCCACCACUCUUUGCUCAUUUGUCAUGGGGGGAGAUAGUUCUGCCUCCAUUCAAAAUCCCACAUUCAUUGUUUCAAUUUAUCAGCCAGAAGAUGAUGUCCUGCUGGGACUUUGCUGGCAUCCUGUGACACACAGUGACCCUAGGGGUUGUGACCCUGGGGUUGCGGCUCAGCACUUAGCCUCAUCCCAGAGCUCAGCCUUGUUUGGCGUGGUCUCAAAGUAUUUCCCAAACGCCAGGUCAGGACAUGUGCUGUGGAGAAGGGCUCCUCUGUCUCUGCCUGGAGUAAGCAGCAGUGUGGCAUCCACAUAGCAGGUUCUGGGGCCCUCCUGCCAUGUAUGGUACUGGCAGUAUCAGAUAUGCCAAUCUGGGGUGUGCCCUGGUGAGGAGAGGAAGAAUGUCCUCGUGAGCUGAACAGAGGCCUCUGCAGACGCCCUUGGGCUGUGAGUGGUGGUCCCAUACCACGAAGCCCCCAGCCACCCUGCUGCACAGUUUAGAAUUGAGUGGGGUGCAGAAGCUGCAGGCUCUGUGUCCCACGCUAAAGUACCAAAGAGUAAGUCCUGCCCCUUUUGACCUGUGGGUCCAAGGCUUUGUGUUUCUGGCACACAGGGUUGGUGGAGGCAGCAAGGGUAGGCCUGAGGGACUGGCAGGACCCCCACCUUGGCCUGUACCCCAACUCUGCACACUAGGAGUGGGCCUUGCCAGGUUGGGGGACUGGCAGGAACCCCCGCCUUGGGCUGCACCCCAACUCUGCGCACCAGGAGGGGGCUUUGCCAGGUUGCAGCACGGAACUGCACUUUCCGAGCUUUUAGGGGAAGAGGCGCUCGUGAAUAAUUCAGCCUCUUUCGCUGAGAUGAAAACGCCCUAAUAGAACUAAUGGACUCGCUGCCUCAAAACACGACUCUGGUGGGACUCAUCUCAUUCACCAAUUGCUUCUGACGUCCUGCAGUGACACUCCCUAAUGAAAAAGCUGCGUGCCAGAUCCUUAGAGCGUCUAGUGAUCCCUAAUAAACUAGACUGUGGCCUUUUUAACAAGCAGACGCCCCCAGGAAGGCAGGUGAGUCCUCCCUUCAGCCCCAGGACUGGAUGCAGCCGCUACCUUCCCAGGGGAGGUGCUGCUCGGGGGUUCGAAUCCCCGGGAAUGAGAAUAAGAGGAGACAAUAUUUUGGGAUGCUUUUGGCUAAUCUGAAAUUAGACCCUCUGUGUUUUUUCAAAGCAGAAGACCUCAAAAAAGAGACAGCCCGAGGUAAACCUGGAAUGACUGUGAUGGAUGGGGUGGUGGGCGGUGGCUUCAGCCGGGCAGCAUCUCUCGCUUGAGCCUGCUUGCAGCCCAGACCUGCCCCAGGCUGGCUGUUUCCCCGUCUGCUGGAGACUCGGCCAUCUAGCUCCCACCUCGUUGUAUUCACCGUUGAUUAAGAUUUAGCAUUUUCCAAUUUUGCCCAGAGCGCGGUCGGGGAGGUUCGGUCUUGUCUGUGCAGGAAGCACGUGCCAAGGGAGCCGGGGGUGCUUGUUUGGGCGUCGGUUUGCUGAUUGUCCUUGGGCGCAAAUUCCUUUGUGUUUGCACUGAUGCAAUGCCGUGCAUUGUAGAGCCGCACCCCGGAAUGGUAGCAGCUCCCCUUCAGUUUCCGCUUUUGAGAACUUUGGUUGGGCUCUCUGCUCUCUGGACAGGUGUCACCAUGCAGAAGUGACAGUCAGGAUUCCUUCUCAGUCUCACAAUUUGUGCUUUCUUGGCUUUCAGUAAACAAAACGAUUCAGAAAUUCCAGGUAGAGGAGUCUGAGAGGAGGUAGUGAUUCCUACUGACUUAAUGAGGUCAACAUCUUUCUUUCAUUUUUCCGUGUCACAGUGUUAAUUCACCUGAAUCCCCCUGGGCCUCUGAUCUACAGGAAUAGAUCUGCACAGGGCAGGCCCAGCCCAGGAAAGAACUUGUAGCGGCCACAUAAUUAGCCAUGGCUAUUGAGGAGGGGCUCAUUUUGCUUGGUACCAGGAUGGUGAGGGAGUGUCAGGGCUCAGAGACCCUCACUCUGGAAAGAAGCUGGAUUCUGGGAUAUUUUGAAUCAGGUCAGGGGUCACUGCACUCUUGAGUUCAGGAAAAGUGGGGUUCCCGAGGCAGGCACCCGGCACUGGGGCCACUUCCUCCUCCCUGCAGUGUCUCACGGGGGCCCUUCAUCCAGGGACCUGAUGCUGUUAGAGUCACCUUCGCUGAAAACCAGGAAUGGAACCCCGGUGUGAGAGAGUCCAGAGGAGCCGGCCUUUGUCCUCUGUUCCCGGGCACCGCUGGUAAUGGGCAGAGCCUCUUGGCCUUUGGCAUGCACACAUCUUUCUUCCCCCGUGGCAGCCCUCCCAGAGUCAUGACCUCUCAGGACCACGGGGAGCCCCCACUGUGCAGGAGGAUGCAAGUCCUGGUGUGGGAGCCCCACACAUACAAGAGAGGGCCACUUGCAAAGAGCCGGUGGGCCUGAGGCAGGAAGCCAUUCCCACCCCCACCAACUGCCGCCCGGCACUGCCAGGAAAUGCCCAGGUGGAGCCCUGGUUGGCCUUUUGGAGCCUGGGCAUUGGUUACUCCCACCCACAUCCCCAAACUUGGCCCCUCACCAUCUUGCCGGGAAGGUGCACAUUCUCUGCAGGAGGGGGUGAUUAUUCACCUCUGUGUUCUCUCCCUUAAGCAUUUUCUGGGGAGAUUUGGUAUCUGUGUGGCUCACUCCUCUAACUCAAGCCUGUGGUCACAAGUUCCUUCCAGCCUUCCUGCUGGCCCCUGGUGGUGGAGUUUUCUCUCCAUGGCAUUUAUCAUAAUUGGUGUCAUCCCACACCCCCUACAAGACUCGCUCCUGGCAGCUUCACCAGCUCCCACCCGGUUAUCCAAAGUGUCAUCUCACACAGCCCACAGCAGCCUGGUACAACAGGCGUUGUACCCACCUCAUAGAUGUGGAGGCUGAAGCUGGAAGUGGUCAAGGUACCUGCCUGGGUCACGCCAUGAGCAGAUGACAACCAGAGCUGCCUCUGUCCAGAAGCUGGUCACUCAGCCACCCUGUCCUCCUGCCCUAGGGCCUUGGCUGUAUUUCCAGGUCCAAACCAGACCCGGGUUGCUUUUUGUGGGUAAUAUCUUAAAAGCUAAUGGCUAUUGAUCUCAGCCUCAUCGGGCCAGGCAGGGAGCUUGCACGUCUGAGGCUGGACCUGCCUUUCAGAAAGAGCCCUGCGGCUGCAGCCUGCCCAAUUGGCCUUCUUUCUAAACACAGACCUCAGGGAAGCAAGGGCUGGCCUCCAUUUGCCCCACACAGGGCUGGCCGCAGGCCACACAGCCACCUCAGAAGCAGCUGCCUGCCGUGCACAUGGAGGGAAGGGAGUGGCCACCAGCAGGCAGGGAGGGGGAGCUGGAGCUGCUGCCUGUGGGUUCCCAGAGCCUCACUUCCUAAGAUGAGCCUGUCCUGGAGUCUGGGCCUCUCUGCCCUCCAGAGCUAUUCUCCCAGAAGGCAAGGCUUUCCAUGCCAGGGCACCCUGCCUGCUCUAACAUCCAGAGGUCCCACAGCCAACACCCCUCCCAGCAUGGAAAUGAGCAGUGGUGAAUGCAAGUCCUGGUGUGGGAACCCCCCAGCAAGAGAGGGAGAGACCUGCAGAGAGCCCCUGGGCCUGAGGCAGGAAGCCAGCCACGCCCUGGUUGGCCUUUUGGAGCCUGGGCCUUGGUUGUUGUUCUACAAGUAUCUGACCCCCUCCUCUGUGCACGAGGGGCGCUCCCGUGGGCACUGAGCAGGCAGCAGUGGCAGCAGGCAGAAGGGUCCCUGCCCUCCUGGACCCAACUUUCAGGGGAGUGAAUUCAGCACACAAGACAACUAGAAAGGAAUCUGCAAGGUGGAUGCUGACAAGCACCAUGGAGACAGUUCACAACAGGAAAGAGGCACGUGGCAUGGUGUGCAUGAGGCAGAGGGUAGGAUGGGAAAUGCAGGACCCCCUGGGGGCCAUGCCCAUCAGACAGAGGUGCAGGCUGGAAGUGACUGGCAUGGCAGGCUGCCCAAGAACAGCUGGUUGCCAGCCUUCAGGGUGGGUGCCAUCCAGCCCUGACUAGGGUGGUGAGGCCAAGGCCUGUGUGGACAUUGCUCCCCAUCUCCCUGUGUGGACAUUGCCCCCGUCUCGGGGGCUCCUUGCCCUCUGGUCUCUCUUUAGCUCCUCUCGGAGCCCACCUUCCCUACCUCAAUUGCAUGUUCAUGCCACAGGCAUUUGCAGGCUCCACUCUGCGCCAGGCCUCAUGCUGGGUGCGACAGGGCAGACAUGAAGGAUCCCUGCAAGUAAGAUACAGAUGAAUACCUGCAGAAAAAUCUCUGUGAAAGGGGCAGCUGAGGGGCUCCUGGAGGUCAACCCCCUCCCUGGGUGCACGUGUAGACAGAGCAGCGAAAGGUCAACAGGCUGCUCACCCGUUCUGGAAGGACCCUGUCACAUGGGGCUCGUUGCAAACUCCUGCCCCUUGUGGCUCCUUCAUUAGGCCUCUGGAGCACACCCCAGGAAGGGCCUGGCCUGGGGCAACUCCAAGACAUCUCAGCCCCCAUCAAGGGCCAUGCCAAAGUCUCUGUAGCUGCCUCAGCCCCCAGAAUAGCCCUCCCAGCUCCUUCCCAAGGAUAAUUGGACUUUUCCUCUCUGGGGCAGAAGGUGGGGACAGUGCUGGCUCCUCUCCAGCUCCCAGGCCAGGUUCCAGGAUCCCAGUCUUCAGCUGGCCCAGCUGAAAUGGUGACUUCCCCUCUGCACCUUCUCUCCCUGGUGACAAUGCUGGGCUGCAGAGCAGGCCCCGUGGGCCAUGAUGAAGGCUUCGGUCAGGUGGGGCGAGGGUCACUGGACUGUGGACCUCCUUUGUAUGGAGCCUGCCUCCAUGUCCUCAUUGCCCUGUCACAGACUGCAGGGUGAGGACUCACAGUCCCCUUCACUGGUCCACUCACUGUUGUGUAUGUGAAUUAACACCAGUGGAUGUGUUCUGGAUGCACGUUUCUCCCUUGACCUUUUAGUUGUCCACCAUCUCUUAGGGCUCACUGCACGUCUGUCUGUGUUGAAAUGCCUCAUUCUUGACAGCAGCACAAAUUCCCACUAUGUGGAUGGACUGUCACUUAGGUAACCAGUUUCCCUACUGAUGGACAUUUAUGUUGCUUUAGCUUAUAAGAAUGCACAUCCAUUAUUUAGGCUAUUUACCCAUGGUUCUUCACAUAGAAACUUUGAAACUCCCCUGUCACAACUAAGCCUCUUUUCCCAACCAACUCUCCCCUGCAACCUGCUUAAAUGCAUUCUGCUCAGUCUUUCUAUUGCAAAAAGCAUGAAGCCCAAAGAUGGUGCAGUAAUGCUUUCAACAAGCAAGGAUGUGUUGUAUAGUAUCACAACACAUUUUCCUUUACAAGGCCAGGAACAAAUAGGACCUUCCCGGGUUAGGGCCACCUGGCAUGCAGGGGUGAGGUGCCUUCCUAGUAUAAUUACAGGAGAGUUUAUUUCAGCAACAGGUGUGUGCUGGACUGCUUUCCCAGGGACAGCUCUUGACCCAGUUUUACCCUGGGAACCACCUCAAGAGAGCCCUGUAAUAUGGCACUGCAGUCACCACGGAACAGCAGCCCUGGUCUUCAGCGUUUGGGAGGGCUCAGGCUCUGCAUGCUGUCUGUGCUCCCGUUUUCGUUUGGACACUUGAGGUGCAGCUGUCCUGCCUGGAAGCCAGUUUUGCCUGUGCUUGUCUCAUGGUUGCAGGGGGCAGAGGAGGGCAGCUUAGCUGGAGUUCCCGGCAAGCACUGCUUUGCGGACUGGGAAUCUCAUGCCAAGAGGUGUUUGCAUCCAGGGGCCAGGUCAUACUCCUAGACACCAAGACCUUCUGGUGGCGGCGCUAGUUAGAGGAUGUUUUGCUGCAGCUGCCCCCUGCCCCAGGCCCAGCCAUCCAGGCUGGGGCAUGCGGGACAUUGGCACACUGUCUAACUCAUCACUGUCUGGACAGCGGCGGCUCCCAGGCCAGGCGGCACCAUGCUGUCCAUGACAUACAGUGAGAGUCUGCGGAGCGUGAGCAGCAGGUGCCACUCUGAAUGGGCCCUGCACCCUGUCCGCCAGACCGACAUGCUGGAACUGCAGCGUCUGCGGGAGGUGCGGGCGGCAGCCCAGGCCAGGAACAUGGAGAGCUUCCUCCGCAUGCACGGCCUCUCCCUGGACGGCUGCACUGCCCAGCGCACAGGCAUGAAGUAUCGGUAAGGGCCGGGCAGGGGGGUGGGGUGGGAAGUCUGAUUUCAGCCAUAUAAAAACAUAUAAAAGGGCCUGGCACAGUGGCUCACGCCUGUAAUCCCAGCACUUUGGGAGGCUGAGGCAGGUGGAUCACCUGAGAUCAGGAAUUCGAGACCAGCCUGGCCAACACAGUGAAACCCCAUCUCUACUGAAAAUACAAAAAUUAGCUGGAUGUGGUAGUACAUGCCUGUAGUCUUAGCUACUCAAGAGGCUGAGGCAGGAGGCAGGAGAAAUGUUUAAACUCAGGAGGCUGAGGUUGCAGUGAGCCAAGAUCACACCACUGCACUCCAGCCUGGGUGACAGGAGUGAGACACUGUCUCAACAACAUCAAAAUGUAUCAAAGAAGAAAAUGAGGCAAGGCACAGUGGCUCACGCCUGUAAUCCCAACACUUUGGGAGGCCGAGGUGGGUGGAUUGCUUGAGCCCAGGAGUUUGAGACCAGCCUAGGCAACAUGGCAAACCCAUCUCUACCCUAAAAUAUAAAGAAAUUAGCUGGGCGUGGUGGCAUGCACCUGUAGUCCCAGCUACUUGAGAGGCAAAGGUGGGAGGAUAACCUGAGCCCAAAGACACUGAGGCUUCAGUAAGCUGUGAUUGCACCACUGCAUUCCAGCCUGAGCAACAAAGUGAAAAGUGAGACCCUGUCUCAAUAAAAUUAAAUAAAAAGUGCCAUAAUCCUAUCCUAUCAAAAGAUAAGCCCUAUUAAGAGUUUGGGGGCAGGCGCAAUGGCUCACACCUAUAAUCCCAGCACUUUGGGAGGCCAAGGUAAGCUGAUCACUUGAGGUCAGGACUUUGAGACCAGCCUGGCCAACAUGGUGUAACCCCAUCUCUACUAAAAAUACGAAAAUGAGGCAGUCGUAGUGCUGUGCACCUUUAGUCCCAGCUACUUGGGAGGCUGAGGCAGGAAGAUUGCUUGAACCUGGUAGACAAAUGUUGCAGUGAGCAGAGAUCGCACCACUGCACUCCAGCCUGGGUGACAGAGGGAGACUCUGUCGCACAAAAAAAAAGAGAGUUUGGUAAAUUCUCCCUGGGAUAAAAAUGUGUGGGGGAUGUUUCUCCAUGGGGAAAAAAAAUGUGUUUCUGGGUGUUGGAGACCCUAAUCUAAGUGAUAGGCACCUAGGUCUUUUCUUGGAACCUCCAAAGGACAUUCUUUUUACUGCUCGCGUCGUUGAAUUCAGCACGUCGGACAGCGCUCUGCUAGCCGUGGUUCUCUGGCUGUUUUUCUUUUCUGAAUCCCUGUAGGUUGCAAAUUGACAGCUGUAUCUUCUAUGCUGCUCAGGAACAAGCCCCUGUGAGAGCCAGUCAGCCAAAGGGCUCUCUCCCCACCCAGUCCUUGUAGAGUUGCCAGUUAAAUUUGAAUUACAGAUGUAACUGGGCAUCCUGUGUUUCAUCUGUCAACCCUAAAUCUCUGGCUUCCGUCUGAGACAGGCCCCUGGGAUUAUCUGCGUGCUCUCUGCAGAGUGGAGUGGAGGCCAGGACUGUUCCUUUCAUGUUUUCUCCUGUGCGCAGUGUGUUUGGUCCUUCAGCCCGUUGUUUGAGGUGUGUGGUUGUUACUUUAAAGAAACAAAACACUUCUGACUGGGCGUGGUGGCUCACCCCUGUAAUUCCAGCACUUUGGGAGGUCAGGUGUUUAGAACAGACUGACUAACCUGGUGAAACCCCAUCUCUAAAAAAAUAAAUAAAUAAACAUUUUUAAAAUAAAGAAAACACUUCUCCUGUGAGUCCAUUAGAUGGCAGAGUUUUUCAGGCUUUGUAUCCUAAAUCCAGUUGUAAAGGAAGGACAAAGGGUCUGCUAGUUUGGCCACAGCUGACCUCCUCGUUCUGCUGGAAAUUUCUUAAGAAGGAGACGCUGUGCAUUCAUGAGGGGCUAGUCAUUGAUGUCUUUUGUUUAUUCAGUAAAUGUUUGUCAAGAGUCUACUUGGCACCAGUCGCUGGGCCAGAUCCUGGAGCUGCUGCACAAACAAAAUCAACCAGGUCUCCACCCUCAUGGCAGCCAUGACCGGGGGUGGGGUGGGGGGGUGCAGAGAAGCAGCAAGCACCCACGGAGAUAAGUUCCAGCAAUGGCCACUUGCCAAGGCAGCAAAGCAGGACAAUGCAAUAAAGAGAGAACAGGGAGGUCGAGGGGGAGCGCUCUGAGAGAGGGGUCAUCUGAAGAUGUGGAGAACAUUCUCUUGGAGAACAUUCCAAGAGAAGAGGGGUCUGGAAUGGACCCUUCUCCAUGUUUCAGGAGCUAAAAGAAGGCCCAGGUGGCUGCGCUGGAGGGAGGAGGGUAGAGGACACGAGGUGAUCAGGCAGGGAGGGGCCAGACCCCAUCCUCCAAACUCUGGGAAAAUCUCAGCUCCCUCUGAUGUGGACAGGAUUUGUGAUGGAGGAGAGUUGAGUGGGUUGAAUCAAGACACAAAAUUCACAUUCAUCCGAAGCCUCAGAAUAUGACAUUAGGCUGGGUGUGGUGGCUCAUGCCUCUAUCCCAGCACUUUGGGAGGCAGCCUGAGCAGCAUGGCGAAACCCCAUCUCUAAAAGCAAUCAAAAAAUUAGCCAGGCAUAGUGACACAUGCCUGUGGUUCCAGCUACACAGGAGGCUGAGGUGGGAGGAUCACCUGAGCCCAGGACUUCAAGACUACAGUGAGCCCUGUUUGUGCCACUGCACUCUAGCCUCUGGAAAAUACACCAGAGGUAUUUUCCAUUUUACAUCUGCCAUGCAGAAAAGUGGGUGCCGUGCAGAGAGUAGCCGCUGGUCCUUUUGUUACUUGGGCAUGUAAAGUUGGGGUUUUCCUUUUGACUUAGUUUUAGGAAAUCAGUGGGAAUUGGCAGCAGAGUGAGACUCUGUCUCAAAAAAAAAAAAAAAAAGAAUGUGACAUUAUUUGGAAAUAUGGUCACUGAUAUAAUUAGUUAAGAUGGGGCAAUGGGGCCAUUUGAGAUUAGAAUGGACCCUAAAUGCUAUGAUUGGUGUCCUUAUAAGAAGGUUGUGUGGUGACAGAGAGUGGAGCGACGCGUCCACAACCCAAGGAACUUCACAUCUUGGUGUUACCAGUGGAGGGUGUCCAGGUUCCUGGCAUCUUGAACAAAGAAUUGGGCAAAACACACAUACAAAGCAAGGAAAGAAUGAAGCAACAAAAGCAGCCGAGUGUGGUGGCUCAAGCCUGUAAUCCCCACAGUUUGGGAGGCCAAAGCUGGUGGAUCAUAUGAGGCCAAGAGUUCAAGAGCAGCCUGAGCAUCAUGGCAAAACCCCAUCUCUAUUUAAAAUACAAAAAUUAGCAGGACGUGGUGGUGGCUCACACCUGCAGUCCCAGCUCUUUGGAAGGCUAAGGCAGGAGAAUCGCUUGAAUCUAGGAGGCAGAGAUUGCAGUGACCGGAGAUUGAAUCAUAGCACUCCAGCCUGGGUGACAGAGAGAGACUCAAUCUCAAAAAAAGAGAGAGAAAGAAAAGAAAACAAAGGUACACUGCACAGGAUGGGAGUGGGCAAGCGGCUCAACAGACUGGAUACAGAAUUUUCUGGGGUUAAAUACCGUGUAGAGGUUUUCCACUGGUUACUUGAUAUACGCCCUAUGUAAAUGAAGUAGUGGCCUGUGAUCAGUCUGAUUAGUUGCAGAAAGUGACCGAUUAGAGGCUGAAGUGAAGUUACAAAUUACAUGUGUAUGCAAAUGAAGACCUGGCCCUGCAACCAGCCUGAUUGGUUGCAAGAGGGGACCAAUCAGAGGUAUUUUCCAUUUUUCAUCUGUCAGGCAGAAAAGGGGGUACCAUGCAAAGAGAGUAGCCUCUGGUCCUUUUGUUACUUGGGCAUAGAAAAUUGGGGUUUUCCUUUUGACUUAGUUCUAGGAAGUAAUCAGGAAUUGGCCUUCAGUUUGCUGCCUCCAGACCUAGUCUCCUGCCCCACCAGGAGCUGCCAGAGGCUGGAAGAAGCAGGAAAGGACACUCAAUUCAAAGGGAGCCCUUCCCACACCUGGACUUUAGACUCCAGAAGUGGGAGAGAAGACAUUUCUGUUGUUUUAAGCUCUCUAAUUUAGGGUUCUUUGUAAUGACAGCAGCAGGGAACUACCACAGGUGGGGAGAACAUGUUUUAUUUGUCUGACGCCCCAAGGAAAAUGUCCAAGCAGCCUCUGAGACACUGCAGGACCCAAUGUGGAGCUGAAAUGCCCUUGGAGAACUCACUUCCUGGGGAGAGGAGGAGACCAGCAGACAAAGGCCCUUUUUUUUUUUUUUUUUUUUUUAAUUGAGACAGAGUCUUGCUGUGUUGCCCAGACUGAAGUGCAGUAGCAUGAUCUCAGCUCACUACAACCUCUGCCUCCCAGGUUCAAGUGAUUCUCCUGCCUCAGCCUCCUGAGUAGCUGGGACUGCAGGCAUGAACCAGCACACCUGGCUGAUUUUUAUAUUUUUAGUAGAGACAGAGUUUUGUCAUGUUGCCGAGGCUGGUCUUGAGCUCCUGAUCUCAGGUGGUCCACCCACCUUGGCCUCCCAAAGUGCUGGGAUUACAGGUGUAAGCCCCCCCACCUCCGACCAACAAAGGCCCUUUAGCGGUUGAUGGGCCAAAGGUUGUUGUUUACACUGGUUGGGGUGAAGUGGCAGGGAGCGGGGGAUGGUGGCCUGUGGUGAAUUUCAUUUUGCUGCACCCAGGCUGGCAGCAGUGGCAUAGCGGGUGCUCCGUGAUUCAAACCGCCGGUUAUUACAGAUCCUAGAUAAAUUUAUUCUGUGGUUAACUCACCUCCAUCAGUGACUGGGCUUCCACUAAACUUGGUCUUAAGUAUGAAUAUAGAAAAGAUGAUACCUGGGGAUAGGCGUUGGCCAGGGCACCAAGGAACCAGCUGUGCCCUCGGCCUGGGCGUUUUAUCAGCUGAACUGAGCUGCAGCUGGUGGAGGUGGCGGGAAGCAUUCCCGUUACACCUCCCCAUUUUUUUUUUUUUAAGACAGAGUCUCACUCUGUUGCCCAGGCUGGAGUGCAGUGGUGCCAUCUCAGCCUACCACAACGUCUGCCUCCCGGGUUCAAGCAAUUCUCCUGCCUCAGCCUCCUGAGUAGAUGGGAUUACAGGCACGAGUUACCACACCUUGCUAUUUUUAGUAGAAAUGGGGUUUCAUCAUGUUAACCAGGCUGCUCUUAAACUCCUGACCUCAAGUGAUCUGCCUGCCUCCACCUCCCAGAGUGCUGAGAUUACAGGCAUGAGCCACCACGCCUGACUUACACUUACCCAUGUUUUAAAUUGUCCUCCAUUCUUGCUGUUAAAAAGAAUUUUAAGGUGAAUUUUUAAAUCCACACAGCCCUGGUGUAAGCGUGAGGGAGCAGGUGAGGGCAGCUGGUCUAGCACCUGCUUUCCCUCCCCCUGUGGAUGGGUUCAGAGAUGUGGCCUCAGACUCUGGCAGGCCAGAAGCUGUGGCCGGGUCCACGCCGUGCUGGCUACACACUAGGCCUGGGUUCGGCUGUGUUUUCCCUGUUCCCCAUAGUGCUGGGAGGGAACCCAAACUCCCCACAAGGCUCCAUGUGGCCCUAGCUCUCCUCCUUGGUUUCAAACCAGACCCCUCUGUCUCCCCCUCAGGAGGCUCUGGACGCCACCCCUUCUUUCUGUAUCUCCAAAGGGAACUCAUUCCCUCUGCAGGGCCCUCGCACUUUCUGUUCCCUCUGCCUGGAGGGUGCAUCCGCAGACAUGGCUGGUUCCUUCCCAUCAUCACAUUUAAGCUUGGUCCCCAAAGAGACUGUCCCAGGCACCCACUCUAAACAAGCACUUACCAAGUCACUCCGAAGCCCCUCUCCUGUGUGAGUGUCUGCCUCACCCCUCCUCCAUCUCGGUUGCCUUGCUUUUUGCCCAUCUGCACUGCUUUGAGGUCAGAGCUUUGCCUGUCCCCUGGCAACCAGGAUGCCCCCAGCCUCUGUGAGUAUAGGUCACAAGGUGCUGCGUGGUCUUGGUCUUUUUUUUUUUUUUUUUAAAGACUGGGUUUAAGCAUGUUGGUCAGGCUGGUCUUGAACUCCCGACCUCAUGUGAUCCGCCUACCUUGGCCUCCAGCAUGGUCUUGGUCUUAAUCCACUUCAAAAGCGCAUGUCUCGUUCUGGCUGUGUCCUUGACAGUGAGAGAACAAGACUGACUGGGAGCUGGUCUGAUGCUCUCUCUGCAGUUCAGGGAGCCUCUGCAGUCCUUGGGCACUGACCCUUGGUCAUGAACUUCCUGGUGGGGCAGGAGUCCUGAUUUCCUGUGCUUUCUGACUCCAGACCCCAGGCUCUUACCACAGGCUAAGGUUCACCAGGAAGUACUUGGUUGGUUGCCAGGUUCAUUGAGCAGACUGUAGUUGCUCAGUUAACCAUAAGCCAUCACUUCCAGUGGGGCCAGCCAGGAAAGACUUCCUGGAAGAGCUGGGAAUCCCCGUGUUUUUUAAAGGACAGGCAAGAAGGAGGGCACUUGAGGGCAGGAGGAGGGGCAGGAGAAAAACAGCAGAGGCCAGACAGGGUUGGCAGAUUAACCUGCCUACAAGGCCAAGUCCAUCCCGGGAAAGGGGGUUCUCCAAGGGACCGGGUCUGUCUUGGGAAAGAUCCUGUUGGACUUUGCUGAGGCUGCUGUAACAAACUAGGUGGUUUACAACAACACAGGUUUCUUUUUCCUGGUUCUGGGGGCCACAAGUCCAGCGUCCAGGCGUGGCAGGGCCAUACUUCCUCCGAAGGUCCCAGAGAGGGUCCUUUUUGCCUCCCGCAGUUUCUGGUGGUACCAGCGGUCCUGUGCAUUCAUCAGCUUGUGGCCACAUAGCUCCAGUCUGUGCCUCUGCCCUCCCAUGGCCAUUUUCCCUCUGUGAGCCUCUAUCUGCAAAUCUCUCUCUGCUUAUACAAACACCAGUCACAGCCAGGCACAGUGGCUCAUGCUGGUAGUCCCAGAACCUUGGGAGGCUAAGGCAAGUAGAUCGCUUGAGCCCAGGGAUUCAAGGCCAGCCUGGGCAAUGUGGCAAAACUCCAACUCUACAAAAAAAUGCGAAAAUUAGCCGGGCAUGGUGGCAUGUGUUUGUGAUCCCUCCCAGCUACUCACCAGGCUGAGGUGAGAGGAUCACUGAAUCCAGGAGGCAGAGGCUGCAGUGAGCCGAAAUCACACCACUGGCACUCCAGCCUGGGUGACAGAACAAGACCCUGCCUCAAAAACAAAAACCCAGUCAUUGGAUUGAAGGCCCACCCUAAGCCAGGAUUGUCCCAUCUUAACUUGAUGACAUUUGCAAAGACCUUGUUUGCCAAUAAGGCCACACUCACAGGCAUCAGGAAUUCCAAUCUCAACUGUCUUUUGGGGACACGUUUCCACCUGCCACAGGCCCCAAGGAUUGACUCAGCACCUUGAACCUGCAGGAACAUCCCUGAGUGUCCUGGGAGGAACUCAGGCCCCCACCAGCCACCUGUGUGACCUCAGAUGAGUCCCCCGGCCUCUCCACAACUCAAUUUCCUUACCUGGAAAGUGGAGACCAUGGUCCCUACAUCACAAUUGUCCUGAGGACUAACUAAGAUGGUGACACAACUCAAAGCUCUAGGCUGGGCUCCUUGAAGAGAAAUGCAGGCUCUUCCUCUCCCUGGGAAAGGGACCUUCCCACCCAGCAGUCGUUGUCCAGGCAUCUGAACCGUCCUCUAUCUGUCCGUCUUGGGGUCUCAUUCAUGCACCUAGUCGCACUUAGAGCUGCAGUUCAGUGCCACGCAGACGGGGCAGAGGCAUCAGGAAGGGAGGGAGGCAAGCAGCCAGUCAUUCUGGAAGAGCUGCAAGGCCAGACGCAGAGGCUGGGAGAAAGCCAGCUGGCAGGCCCAGGGCUCUCCAUAAGGCCCUGCCCAGGACCAUAGCGGGCAGCUAUGUGGGGCCUGUGUUGGGGCCGGGAUGGCUUCUGCUGGCAGUGGGCACCACAUUGGAGACUUGGUGGUCAUAGUCAUCCCAGGCAUGGGAACAGCAUCCAUCUGCAGCCCCAGCCUCUCCAGCCCCAGCUCCCCUAAAGGGACAGAACAGCCUUUCCCUCCCCAAGUGCUGCUGAAGGAGGAGUGGGAGGAAAGGCAGAGACCCAAACACCUGCCCUGGUUACCUUGUAACCACUUCACGAUGUCCUCGGUGUUUCUGGAGCUGGCCUGACCAUAGGAAUCACGGGAUGCACCUGUUUCUCAUGUUUCUUGUUUUGUUUUGAGACAGGCUCUUGCUCUGUGGCCCAGGCUGGAGUGCAGUGGUGCAGUCACAGCUCACUGCAGCCUCAAUCUCCCAGGCUCAAGUAAUCCUCCAGUCUUGGCCUCCCUACUAGCUGGGACCACAGGCUCACACCACCACAACUGGCUAAUUUUUGUGCUUUUUGUAGAGAUGAGUCUCACUAGGUUGCCCAGGCUAGCCAGGAACCCCUGGGCUCAAGCGAUCUACCCACCUUGGCCUUCCAAAGUGCUGGGAUUCUAGGUGUGGACCACUGUGCCCAGCCAUAUCUGUCACAGUACAGAUCACCAGGCCCCUGCCUGGAGGUUUGAGGCAUCUGCCUGCCCCGAGACGCUCUUCAGACCAGCAAGGUCAGGGGGUACCACCCAGUACUGGUGCCAUGGUCAUUGUUUCUGGUCUUGUUAUGUCUCAAAGGGUUGCUUCUGAGGACGGAAGGAGGAAAGGAAGGAGAGGUGCUCACUCGGGGCCGGCACAGUUGCAUGAGAAAUGGCAGCAACUCAGAACAGAGCCGGCCGACUCACAGCUGCCGGUCGCCUUCCCCUUUCAGGGCUCCUAGAGUUGGAAGUGAGUGGGGCUGUGAGGUCCUGGUGAGCAAGAGGAAGGAGGAGGAACUUACACGGCUUUGCAGACCAUGUAAAGCCAGUUCCCGGGGAGCCCACACACGGCCUGCAGAACUUGUCAUAGCGUUACCUGCAGCUUCAAGGUGUGACCCCAGCACAGUCCAUUCAGCCCGACCACAGAAUGGGCCCCACCAGUGGGAUGUACACUCUGGGCAAGGUCCACAGAAGCUCACAUGUCCUGUCACCAGUCCUGUGGCCUCUUCCUUCCCUCAGCCUCCCACCGUCCCUCUGUGUCAAGUCCCCCAGCAUCUGGUGCACCCUCUGACAAGGCCAGUGGGUCAUCCUACUCCAGACACAGAACCUGCCGCUGCCUCACAGGCUCCCACCCUCUGCCCUUCUGCUGCUGCUUUCAGGAGAAGGACAUUCUUGGAAUUCCGCAUGGAGCCCAACUUCUCCCUGGAGCCCUUCCACACUCCCUGACACUGCUGACCCGCUCUCCUGCUGGCUGACUUGGCCUUGAACACAGGUGGCUUAGGCCUUUCCCAGGGACCCUUGCUUCACAUCUCAGCUGAAGGAAGCCACACUCACAGCACUUAGCCCCUGUGGGGUCUUCAGCUCUUACUCUCCUGGUGGACUCCUCCUCCAGGAAGGCCACCAGCCUUGCUUCCCUUUGUUCUUACAAACUGCUCCACUGGGGCAGCCCCUCAACUGUUCAGCAUCUGCUGCCCUUCUUUGGGCAAUAAGCCACCUUUGGAUGCAAACCACGCUCUAUUCAGCAUGGCUGAGGCGAUCUCUGCAGGCUGCAGAACCUCAGCCUCACUCUCAGAGGAGCUGCUGAAGGCUGUGCUUUUAAAAGCCAUAUCUAAAACCUCCAGGCUCUGAGGCCUCCACAGGCCUAGUUGAGGGCAUCUGCCCCUCCCACUGCGAGCCUGUUUCCAUUAUCAGGGAGGAGCUGGCUGGACCUGGCUUUCCUGCCUCUCCAGGCCUGAGCGGGAGGAGUGGACCCCAGGCCCUGAGCCGGAAACCUCCCCUACAGGGAUGCUGUCUGUAGUGCACUCCAGGGACACACCACAGAGCUUCUAAUUGGGGAUGGCCAUCCCCCCCCCCCACACCGAUGACUCACAGCGGGAGCUAGCUGCUUCAUCUUAUCCGCAGCAGGUACCAGAGAAUCAGAAAAAGAAACAGAAAUCUGUUGUAAGUUGAAGUCAACCAGCCACACUCAGUGCCUCUGACCAAAGCCUGAUAGAAGUCACCCAGCACAUGGCCAGGCGUGGCUCAUGCCUGUAAUCCCAGCACUUUGGGAGGCCAAGGCAGGUGGAUCACUUGAAGUCAGGAGUUCAAGUCCAACCUGGCCAACAUGGUGAAACCCCGUGCCUAGCAAAAAUACAAAAAUUAGCUGGGCAUGGUGGUGCAGGCCUGUAAUCCCAGCUGCUCAGGAAGCUGAAGUAGUAGAAUCACUUGAACUCUUGAACUCAAGGUGGAGGUUGCAGUGAGCCGAGAUUGUGCCACUGUACUUCAGCCUGGGCGACAGAGCAAGACUCUGUCUCGAAAAAAAAAAAAAAGGAAAAGAAAAAAGAAGUCAACCAGCACAUGAUCUGGAUCUCACCCUCGUCCCCA